GCCUUAGUAGUAUAAAAAUACAUUGGUCUUGUAAACCAAAAAUGGAGAAACCUUCUCCCUAAGACA
rnacentral:tRNA from 1 species